rnacentral:misc_RNA from 1 species
AGCCAAAGUAUUGGGGAUUGCAGU